GAUGAACGCUGGCGGCGUGCCUAUACAUGCAAGUCGAGCGAACAGACGAGGAGCUUGCUCCUCUGACGUUAGCGGCGGACGGGUGAGUAACACGUGGAUAACCUACCUAUAAGACUGGGAUAACUUCGGGAAACCGGAGCUAAUACCGGAUAAUAUAUUGAACCGCAUGGUUCAAUAGUGAAAGACGGUUUUGCUGUCACUUAUAGAUGGAUCCGCGCCGCAUUAGCUAGUUGGUAAGGUAACGGCUUACCAAGGCAACGAUGCGUAGCCGACCUGAGAGGGUGAUCGGCCACACUGGAACUGAGACACGGUCCAGACUCCUACGGGAGGCAGCAGUAGGGAAUCUUCCGCAAUGGGCGAAAGCCUGACGGAGCAACGCCGCGUGAGUGAUGAAGGUCUUCGGAUCGUAAAACUCUGUUAUUAGGGAAGAACAAAUGUGUAAGUAACUAUGCACGUCUUGACGGUACCUAAUCAGAAAGCCACGGCUAACUACGUG
rnacentral:rRNA from 1 species